rnacentral:rRNA from 1 species
GAUGAACGCUAGCUACAGGCUUAACACAUGCAAGUCGAGGGGCAGCAUGGUCUUAGCUUGCUAAGGCCGAUGGCGACCGGCGCACGGGUGAGUAACACGUAUCCAACCUGCCGUCUACUCUUGGACAGCCUUCUGAAAGGAAGAUUAAUACAAGAUGGCAUCAUGAGUCCGCAUGUUCACAUGAUUAAAGGUAUUCCGGUAGACGAUGGGGAUGCGUUCCAUUAGAUAGUAGGCGGGGUAACGGCCCACCUAGUCUUCGAUGGAUAGGGGUUCUGAGAGGAAGGUCCCCCACAUUGGAACUGAGACACGGUCCAAACUCCUACGGGAGGCAGCAGUGAGGAAUAUUGGUCAAUGGGCGCAGGCCUGAACCAGCCAAGUAGCGUGAAGGAUGACUGCCCUAUGGGUUGUAAACUUCUUUUAUAAAGGAAUAAAGUCGGGUAUGGAUACCCGUUUGCAUGUACUUUAUGAAUAAGGAUCGGCUAACUCCGUGCCAGCAGCCGCGGUAAUACGGAGGAUCCGAGCGUUAUCCGGAUUUAUUGGGUUUAAAGGGAGCGUAGAUGGAUGUUUAAGUCAGUUGUGAAAGUUUGCGGCUCAACCGUAAAAUUGCAGUUGAUACUGGAUAUCUUGAGUGCAGUUGAGGCAGGCGGAAUUCGUGGUGUAGCGGUGAAAUGCUUAGAUAUCACGAAGAACUCCGAUUGCGAAGGCAGCCUGCUAAGCUGCAACUGACAUUGAGGCUCGAAA